CCUACGGGUGGCUGCAGUGGGGAAUACUGCACAAUGGGCGCAAGCCUGAUGCAGCCAUGCCGCGUGUGUGAAGAAGGCCUUCGGGUUGUAAAGCACUUUCAGCGGGGAGGAAGGCGGUGAGGUUAAUAACCUCAUCGAUUGACGUUACCCGUAGAAGAAGCACCGGCUAACUCCGUGCCAGCAGCCGCGGUAAUACGGAGGGUGCAAGCGUUAAUCGGAAUUACUGGGCGUAAAGCGCACGCAGGCGGUCUGUCAAGUCGGAUGUGAAAUCCCCGGGCUCAACCUGGGAGCUGCAUUCGAAACUGGCAGGCUAGAGUCUUGUAGAGGGGGGUAGAAUUCCAGGUGUAGCGGUGAAAUGCGUAGAGAUCUGGAGGAAUACCGGUGGCGAAGGCGGCCCCCUGGACAAAGACUGACGCUCAGGUGCGAAAGCGUGGGGAGCAAACAGGAUUAGAUACCCCAGUAGUC
rnacentral:rRNA from 1 species